rnacentral:lncRNA from 1 species
CUGGCUAGCGUCGAGCUUUUCUUGGCUCAGCUUCUGUACAGCUUCAACUGGAAACUGCCUGAUGGUGUGAAUCCAGGGAAUAUGGACCUGACAGAGAAUCCUGGAAUAACUGCUCAAAGGAAGGAGAAUCUUUAUGUGGUGGCCCUACCAUUAUGAAGAGUUUGACCUUGACUUUGAUUAUUAUUAUUACCUCCAUUUGUCUAGUGGUGUCUGUUUUUCGUUAUUUUCUCCCUGGAAUAAUUGUCAAGUUCUUACUUUGUUGAAACAUUGGGAUAUAGGAGAUUAUAUUUUUCUUUAAGUUUGAUCAAUAAAAGUCAGGCCUUCUUGGUCUUGGUCAUAUAUUAUAAUAUUUGGUCUGUUUCUAUGUAAUAACUGUCUCUUUUUAAAAAAAUAUUUUUGUCUCUUUUUAAAAAAUAUUUUGUUCCAUAUUAUCUGUCUAUUAGAUUUCCAAUAACGAAUUAAAUGCAUUUUUUAUGUUUUAAUUUUAUUAACUAAACUCUAAGUAUUACUCCUAACCUUGCUCUCUCUUGUCACGGCAUUAAAGGAUCAAGGUUAUUUUAGUCUUUUUAAUGCGUUUCUCUUAAAAUCAAGACACACUUAUUGACAUUCUUAAUACUUGUGCAAAGAUGAAAAACAAAUAAAAUAUAUAUAUUCUUAGGCAUCGUUUGGUUGGGGAGAUUAGCUACUAGUAACUAAAUGAUUGGAGUUUGUUCGAAGUGUGGUAUCCCAAUAACUUGACAGAUCAACCCGCAAAUAUAAUAUUAUCAUGAUUUAUCUUGCCUUUUAGGAGUUUUCGUGUUGGAGGUUGUCCCCCAUGGUUUGAUAAAAUAAUUAGAUUUUUAGGUCCCGUUUGGUUGACAAGAUAAGAUUAAAUAAUCUAAUGAAGGCAAGAUAAGCCAAGAUAAGGCAAGAGGUCGACCCGACAAUUUAUUGAGGAUACCAAAUAUCAAAUUAAGUCCAACUAUUUAGUUAAUCAUCGAUUAUCUUGACAACCAAAUAAGACCUUAUUAGAGUAUUUAAUUUUAUCUAGUCAAUCAAACAUCUUUAUCUUAUCUUGACAAUUUAAACAAUUAAUUCCAAGCUACGAUCUCAAGGUAAGAAGAAAUUAUACUAUAUAAGAAAAAUAAUGGAACUAAUGAGAUGCUAAAUUAUAGCAAAUCAAAGAGGAAAAAAGGGGGAUAAACGAAUUGUACCUUUGAAUAAAAUCGGAGCUCGGAUUGGGGUUGUUGAGGAAAUAGCGGUGGCAAAUCCGUAAAUAAGUGGAGGAUUUACGAGAAUUCUCCGUCUUCCGCCGCCGCCGAUUCAUUUGCUGCUCCAAUCGCCGCCGCGAUUGCUCGUGUGUGUGAGUUUGGGAAUCCCGCCGGAGGAGGAGAGUGCUGGAGCAGUACCAGCACUUUGGCCAAGUGGGGGUAAUAUUGUCAUUGC